rfam:Schistosoma rodhaini strain Burundi genome assembly, scaffold: SROB_scaffold0006879
AUCGACGAGUCCCAAAUAGGACGAAACGCGCGUCCUGGAU